UCUGUGGUGGUCUAGGGGUUAAGAUACAGUGCUUUCACUUCUGCAGCCCAGGUUCAAUCCCUGGUCUGGGAA
rnacentral:tRNA from 1 species